CCACUAUUCCACUACUUGGCCCUAUCAGAUCCCGCACCCAUUAAAACCUCCCCACUAUUCCACUACUUGGCUUUAUCAGACCCUACACCCAUUAAAACCUCCCCACUAUUCCACUACUUGGCCCUAUCAGAUCCUACACCCAUUAAAACCUCCCCACUAUUCCACUACUUGGCCCUAUCAGAUCCUGCACCAGGCCUCUUUUCCACUGGAAUAGUGGGGAGGUUUUAGUGGGUGCAGGAUCUGAUAGGGCCAAGUAGUGGAAUAGUGGGGAGGUUUUAAUGGGUGUAGGCUCUGAUAGGGCCAAGUAGUGGAAUAGUGGGGAGGUUUUAAUGGGUGUAGGCUCUGAUAGGGCCAAGUAGUGGAAUAGUGGGGAGGUUUUAAUGGGUGUAGGAUCU
ensembl:lncRNA